GACGAACGCUGGCGGCGUGCUUAACACAUGCAAGUCGAACGGACAGGCCCUGCUUUUGUGGGGUGCUCGAUUGGCGAACGGGUGAGUAACACGUGAGUAUCCUCCCCUUGACUUUGGGAUAACUUCAGGGAACUGCGGCUCUUAUCCCAUAGGAGCUCUUGCAGCAUGGUGGUGAAUGGAAAAUUUCGGCUGUUGGGUCUGGACUGGCGGCUUAUCAGCUUGUUGGUGGGGUUGUGGCUUACCAAGGUUUUCACGGGUAGCCGGCCUGAGCGGGUGACCGGCCACAUUGGGACCGAGAGAAGGCAGAGACACCUACGGGAGGGAGAAGGGGGGAAGAUUGCACAAGGAGCGGAGGCCUGAUGAAGCAGGGCCGCGGGCGGGAAGACGGCCUUCGGGUGGUAAACCGAUUUCGCCUGUGACGAAGCGUGAGUGACGGUAAUGGGUAAAGAAGGACAGGCUAACUACGUG
rnacentral:rRNA from 1 species